rnacentral:tRNA from 1 species
GAUUAAAUGACUGAAAAUAGGUAGUAAACUGUAAAUUUAUUUAUAAGAUGAAAAUCUUUUUAAUCA